UCGAGCGGCAGCGAGAAGAAACUUGUUUUCUUUGUCGGCGAGCGGCGGACGGGUGAGUAAUGGUUGGGAACUUGGCCUAGUGAGGGGGAUAACAGUUGGAAACGACUGCUAAUACCGCAUGAUCUCUACGGAGCAAAGAAGGGGCUCUUCGGACCUUUCGCACUGGGAUAGGCCCAAUUGGGAUUAGCUAGUUGGUGGGGUAAAGGCUCACCAAGGCGACGAUCUCUAGCUGGUUUGAGAGGAUGAUCAGCCACACUGGAACUGAGACACGGUCCAGACUCCUACGGGAGGCAGCAGUGGGGAAUAUUGCACAAUGGGCGCAAGCCUGAUGCAGCCAUGCCGCGUGUAUGAAGAAGGCCUUCGGGUUGUAAAGUACUUUCAGCGAGGAGGAAGGUGUAGUAGUUAAUACCUGUUACAUUUGACGUUACUCGCAGAAGAAGCACCGGCUAACUCCGUGCCAGCAGCCGCGGUAAUACGGAGGGUGCGAGCGUUAAUCGGAAUUACUGGGCGUAAAGCGCAUGCAGGCGGUUCGUUAAGUUAGAUGUGAAAGCCCCGGGCUUAACCUGGGAGUUGCAUUUAAGACUGGCGAGCU
rnacentral:rRNA from 1 species